rnacentral:rRNA from 1 species
CGUACCCUGGAAACAGAACAACACGUGAAUCAGUUUGAAUACACGACCAGAGAACGUGUUUAUCAUGAACGGGGAUGUGGUGAAAGCCCCAUCCCUAAGCUGGGAUGGUACUCCGCCUCGGUGGGGUAUUUUCUCAGCACAAUAACGAACCCCGGCGCGGUCUGCGCCAAGGAACAUGGAUACAAGUGUGCCCUUCUUCAGCUGGUUCGCCAGAUGUAGAGGUGGCACCAAGUCGUAUAUAACAUUAAACGACUCUCGGCAACGGAUAUCUCGGCUCUCGCAUCGAUGAAGAACGUAGCGAAAUGCGAUACUUGGUGUGAAUUGCAGAAUCCCGUGAACCAUCGAGUCUUUGAACGCAAGUUGCGCCCGAAGCCUUUAGGUCGAGGGCACGCCUGCCUGGGCGUCACGCAUCGCGUCUCCCCCCACCCACCUUCAGUGGGAGGGGCGGAGGAUGAUGGCCUCCCAUGCCUCACCGGGUGUGGAUGGCCUAAAUACGGAGCCCCCGGUUAUGAAGUGCCGCGGCAUAGGUGAGAUACAAGGCCUAGCCUAGGAUACAUCGGAGUCGUGCACUUUUUAGCUUUUGAGGACUCGCAGGACCCUAAGUUUGUUUGCCCAUUGGGGCAUCAAAACCGUUGCGACCCCAGGUCAGGCGGGGCUACCCGCUGAG